rnacentral:rRNA from 1 species
CAUGCGCGACCGAUCGAAUCAUCUGGCGUUAAGUCCAGGCAUCUACGUCGGAGUAUUACGCCAUUGAAAUCGACCUCGUUCAUUCUAGGGAGCAGCAUGGCAUUUCGACAUGCGCCAGCUGAUCAGCAUGCUCGUGUGAGAGCUCGGUGUAGCCUUUGUACGGAGGAAAGGCUCGAUUAUAUCGGGUCAUGACGUACGUAGGAUAGCACCGCUACUCGUGCCAGCAGCGCGUAUACGAGGGUGCAGCGUCAUCGGAUACUGGCGUAAGCGUGCGUAGGCGGUUGUAAGUCCGAUGUGAAGCCUGGGCUCAACCUGGGAACGGCAUUGGAUACUGGCGAGCUAGAGUCAGGUAGAGGGUGGUGGAAUUCCCGGUGUAGCGGUGAAAUGCGUAGAGAUCGGGAGGAACAUCUGUGGCGAAGGCGGCCACCUGGACCCAUGACUGACGCUGAGGCACGAAAGCGUGGGGAGCAAACAGGAUUAGAUACCCUGGUAGUGCACGCCCUAAACGAUGCGAACUGGAUGUUGGGCUCAACUCGGAGCUCAGUGUCGAAGCUAACGCGUUAAGUUCGCCACCUGGCGAGUACGGUCGCAAGACUGAAACUCAAAGGAAUUGACGGGGGCCCGCACAAGCGGUGGAGUAUGUGGUUUAAUUCGAUGCAACGCGAAGAACCUUACCUGGCCUUGACAUGUCCGGAAUCCUGCAGAGAUGCGGGAGUGCCUUCGGGAAUCGGAACACAGGUGCUGCAUGGCUGUCGUCAGCUCGUGUCGUGAGAUGUUGGGUUAAGUCCCGCAACGAGCGCAACCCUUGUCCUUAGUUGCCAGCACGUAAUGGUGGGAACUCUAAGGAGACUGCCGGUGACAAACCGGAGGAAGGUGGGGAUGACGUCAAGUCAUCAUGGCCCUUACGGCCAGGGCUACACACGUACUACAAUGGUCGGGACAGAGGGCAGCAAGACCGCGAGGUGGAGCCAAUCCCAGAAACCCGAUCUCAGUCCGGAUCGCAGUCUGCAACUCGACUGCGUGAAGUCGGAAUCGCUAGUAAUCGCGAAUCAGCAAUGUCGCGGUGAAUACGUUCCCGGGCCUUGUACACACCGCCCGUCACACCAUGGGAGUGGGCUGCUCCAGAAGCAGGUAGUCUAACCGCAAGGAGGACGCUGCCACGGAGUGUCAACUGU